rnacentral:misc_RNA from 1 species
ACCUAUUCAUACAAAAGCAUGGUCAUUGCCAAAUUACCGGAAUUGUAUCACCAUCGAUCUCUUGGCUGCUAAUGGCCGAUUAGGGUUUCCAAUAUUGUGUUGCCAUUCACUAUUUUUGUGGUGCCAAUGAUGAAGUCAUAACCCAUUCCUUCCUGUGAACUAAGAAAACGAAGAGCUGCAAUUUCAGCAAAUGUUACUCCUCCGAUGAAGACCACUAGGACAAGAGUCCGACGCCCAUCAACAACCCUGUCA